GACGAACGCUGGCGGCGUGCUUAACACAUGCAAGUCGAGCGAUGAAGCUCCCUCGGGAGUGGAUUAGCGGCGGACGGGUGAGUAACACGUGGGUAACCUGCCUCAUAGAGGGGAAUAGCCUUUCGAAAGGAAGAUUAAUACCGCAUAAGAUUGUAGUACCGCAUGGUACAGCAAUUAAAGGAGUAAUCCGCUAUGAGAUGGACCCGCGUCGCAUUAGCUAGUUGGUGAGGUAACGGCUCACCAAGGCGACGAUGCGUAGCCGACCUGAGAGGGUGAUCGGCCACAUUGGGACUGAGACACGGCCCAGGCUCGUACGGGAGGCAGCAAUGGGGAAUAUUGCACAAUGGGGGAAACCCUGAUGCAGCAACGCCGCGUGAGUGAUGACGGUCUUCGGAUUGUAAAGCUCUGUCUUUAGGGACGAUAAUGACGGUACCUAAGGAGGAAGCCACGGCUAACUACGUGCCAGCAGCCGCAGUAA
rnacentral:rRNA from 1 species